GAAAAUUUGGUUACUUUCCACCCGAUUGGAUUGCUUGUUGGCGUUUUGGAUUAAAUAAUAUUAUAAGACUUAUGCAAUCGGUUGAACAAUAUCAAAUAUAAGUUGAUGCAUGUUCUCUUGAAAGGUACUACUUGUCAAAUUUACUCAAAUAAUGAUGUUAUUAUAUUCAUACUAUUGAUUUAUAUAACAUUACUUCUAAUACACACCCUAUAUCAAAUUUCGGUACACAGGAAUAUUCAAUCGAAGGUUAAAGACAUUUGUUGAAGAGAAAGAGUUUAAGGCAAAUGAAAGAGGAAAACAAAUAAUUGUUGAGCAAAAUGAAUCAAAUGACAAUGAUGAGGAGAAUAUCAUUUUUCUAUAUAUUUAAAUAUAUUUUGUUUGUCAUAGUUGGAUUUCAUCACAUGCUUGGUUAAUUAAUAGAAAAAUGAAUCAGAUGCCAAUGAUUAAUAGCAAGAUUUUGGCCAAAGGAAAACGCAAAAUUCAAAGACUAGAAUAUGAUAUCGAUGAACUUCCAAUCCGAA
rnacentral:lncRNA from 1 species